rnacentral:tRNA from 1 species
GGUAGCUCAGCGGUAGAGCAGUUGACUGUUAAUCAAUUGGCCGGCGGUUCGAAUCCGUCC